AAUGAACUAUGUCAUAAAUCGUGCGCCUUUUGGCUUUGGACUAAUAUCAUGCAUAGUUUGUACUAUAUAUAAGUAGGUUCAAAAGUGCUGCUUAGAAUUGUAUUUGUGGAGUACCU